UGGAUAGAUUAUUGUAUUCGACUGUAUUCACGGCGUGAAACAUGGGAUUACACUGUUUUUAAACGAAAAACGAAUCAAUUAACAUAAUAGACUCCU
rnacentral:pre_miRNA from 1 species